GCACAACGCGAAGAACCUUACCUACUCUUGACAUCCAGAGAACUUAGCAGAGAUGCUUUGGUGCCUUCGGGAACUCUGAGACAGGUGCUGCAUGGCUGUCGUCAGCUCGUGUUGUGAAAUGUUGGGCUAAGUCCCGCAACGAGCGCAACCCUUAUCCUUUGUUGCCAGCGAUUCGGUCGGGAACUCAAAGGAGACUGCCAGUGAUAAACUGGAGGAAGGUGGGGAUGACGUCAAGUCAUCAUGGCCCUUACGAGUAGGGCUACACACGUGCUACAAUGGCAUAUACAAAGAGAAGCGACCUCGCGAGAGCAAGCGGACCUCAUAAAGUAUGUCGUAGUCCGGAUUGGAGUCUGCAACUCGACUCCAUGAAGUCGGAAUCGCUAGUAAUCGUGGAUCAGAAUGCCACGGUGAAUACGUUCCCGGGUCUUGUACACACCG
rnacentral:rRNA from 1 species